GUCCAAACCAGAACACAAGAAGACAUUCUCUAAUUCUCUGUGAGUUUUUGUUUUUGGCCAUGUCGACUUCGAUUCUUCUUGGAUCAUCAUCAACUUCUUCUCUAAACCCAAGGAAACAAAUACAACUUUUCUCAAGUCUGAUGAUAUGAUAGAAAGCUAACAUAAGCUUCUUGUCAAUAGGGGUGGUCAUGCUCCAGCAAUGAUUUGGAUUUGAGAAUGCUGAUGAUCGAGUAUCCUUCCCAUUUUAUUCAGCUCUGGGCCCAUUCGAACUGGAUCACGACUAUUGCUCACCAUUGCUGCUCACCAUUGCCGCUCACCAUUGCUGCUCACUCUUGUGUGGUGAAGGUGUUUGGCGAAAUGGGGUUUGGUGAAAUGGGGUUUGGCGAAAUGAUGUUUGGUGAAAGGGUGUGUGGUGGAUGGUGCUGAACGAAUUUUCUUAACAUAAUCUCUGAAUUUGGAACAGAUUAUUGAUCUGCACAUUACAUGAGCGUUGAAGGAAGUUUUAUAUUUCUAGAGCACCUAAAUCAGAUGGUUGUUAUUUUUACAAUAUACCAGAAUGAUAGCAAUUUGGAUUAAUUUGAGAGCUGCUUGUAUUACCCGGGAUAAAAUUAAUGUAUUGGCUGCUGGGAGUUCUGUUGCUGGGAGCUGCUCUAAACGUCCAUGAAGGUCCUCAAAUCAAAUGAUUUGUUUUGGAUUUAGAGGUAUCUUUAGUUCAAAAGGACAUGGAACCUGACUACUAGUAAAUUAGCGAGUAGUGCACAAUCUCAUCAACACCACUAUCAAACAGCAACUAAAUCAUACUUCUCUCCUUCCGUCAAACAAAUCCUCCUUCCUGGAUCCCACAUUCCUACUCACUCACUUCUUCAGCUUAUUAAUUAACAAACAGACAAGAUGUGAAGAACAAACAAACGCCUGCAGGCAGCUUCAUCAAUUAUUUCUUCUUGUUUUUCACUUCUCAAACUAACUGUUUCAUCAUCAACACCAGCUAAUAGAGAGAAACAUCACCUAAUUGUUUCAUUGUCAAAUAUUUGAGUGUGGGAUUUGAUUUAUUUCACUCCAUGAGAUUUCAUUCUAUCUUGAAUACAUAAGCUAGAGAGACCGAGUUAGAGAGAGGAAGAAACAGAAACAUGGAGAUGGUGGUUGGGCAAGCCCAAAGCAAGAAGAGGAAGAAGUAUAACGAAGAUCUGGUGAUGGCCAUGGAAAACCAACUCAAUCAAGAUUCGUUAGAGAAAGUACUUCCAUGGCUACGCACAUCAACUUUCUACCGUUGACGUUCAGUGUGCAAGAGAUGGAAUUCAGUUGCAGAAUAUGCAUCUUUCAGGCUUGCUUGUCAACAAGUUCUCUUUACGGAUCCUUGGUUUUUCAUGGUUGAUUCUCACCUUGAUCUUGUAUCCGAUACUUGACAAAAUAAUUGGAAACAUCUUAACAAUAAGCGCCGAAGGCAUCAUCGAGUACUCCGACAACAAUCAAAAACUUACUCAUAGCUGCAGAAGCAGCAAUGAUUUAAUACCUGUGGCUCAUCACCGUGAGUGGUUUCCGGUUUACAGCUUCUGGCCAUUUCUAGUCCAACCCGGUCAGUGGUGCCUCCUGAGAGCUUCCUGCAUUGCCUUCAAUGUUGCAGCAUCAAAACAUUCAUGCAAUUGCUAUGCAUUCAUCUUCAGAACCCUCUUCCAGACAAAUACUUGUCUCUGGUGAGCUACCAGACCUCUCAGUCAGAGUGUAGGAAUCAGGGAAAGACUACUGGGAAUAAGUUAAAGAGUCAGAAAGCAACAGAGGGAGGAGUGUCAGUGUUACUCAGUUGAGCAGAGAAGAGUAGUGCAAUCUCAUCUAAUCACCAAACAGCAGCAACUUCAUAUUUCUCUCUCAUUCUCACUCUCCAUCGUCAAAUUAAGCCUCCUUGGAUUAUUAAUUUACAAACAAGCACCUGCAGGCAGCAGCAACACUUUCCUCAAUUGUAUCUUCUUGUUUUUCACCUCUCAAACUCAGGACUUGGGUAACGAGCAUGUAUGUCGAGAUUUCUUAUGUUAUUGUGUUAUGAUAGGUGUGACGACGAGGGAUUAGAGACUGCCUUAGCUACCUAGUAAUGUGGACGGCUUUCUUCUUCUUGUUUAAUUAA